ACCCGAGUGGUUUUUAACCCUAUUUUACUUAUGUGUAACCUAUUUCUUGUGGUCAGUUCUCUUACUAUUGGGAAUGGUUUUGUCAGUCUUUGGAGGGAAACUGUUGGACAAAGACAGCGGUUUUCUUCGUGUAAUAUUUUGAGUAAUACAUGGUUAAUUAGGACUUCUACUGCAGUCACAGAAAGCGUGGGAAGAAGGAGCAAGGGAGUGAACUCCAUUCAGUUCCACAAAUUGAUCGGAGCCUUGACGUUUGAUGCUCUUGAGUUAUAUGUGAAUCAAAUAUUCUAAUUAUAUGGAAAUGUAAAACUA